rnacentral:rRNA from 1 species
UACGUAGGAUCCAAGCGUUGUCCGGAUUUACUGGGCGUAAAGGGUGCGCAGGCGGACUGGUAAGUCUGGGGUGAAAUCUCGCCGCUUAACGGCGAAACUGCCUUAGAUACUAUCAGUCUUGGAUAAGCGAGAGGUUCGUGGAAUUCCGAGUGUAGCAGUGAAAUGUGUAGAUAUUCGGAAGAACACCAGUGGCGAAGGCAGCGAACUGGCGCGUUAUCGACGCUCAUGCACGAAAGCAUGGGGAUCAAACAGG